UCACCCCGGUCUCAGCGUGGCACAGCUCUUCCCACCAACAGCCCACACGACCCUGUUGACCCUGAAUCCCUACACUGAGCCCUGGCAGGGGGAUGCCGGGUGCGGCUGUCACCGCUGCGGCCUCGCAAGGGGCGGGGAAAAAAAAAACAGCAGGAGAAAAUAUUAUUAAAAAGGCACUAUUCCCCCUUUGGGGCAACGACCAGCUCAGAAGGUGACCUUUCAGCCCUGGCCCGGCUAUGGCACACCCCGGAGUGCGGCUUGCUGAGGGAUGGGCUCCUUCAAGGUCUGGGUGCUGAUGGUGAUGAUGUUACCUGCGGCGCAAGCCCCGGGGCAGAUAUUUUCUGUGGACUUUGAUGCUGAAUGGGAGAAAAAGCAGCUCCUGAAAGGCGAGAGGACAGCUCAGAGAGAAAGGAAAUCCCACCCCCUCCCAAUCCCUGAUGACUCAAAGGCUGCCUGGGGCAGAUAGCUGGUGGGAGAAGUCCUGAGGAGCCCUUCUGCCAGUCUAUAUGCUGCCUUUUGGGUAUAAGCCUUGGGGCUAGUGCUGCACGCUGUCUGCUGGCUAAACGUUGGCGUCAAAGCUGUGUGUUGGAGAAGACCAACCAGGUGGGUUGCCGAGGCAGUCGGAUCACUGGGGAGAGUACCCAAGGGCCAGGGCAGAGAGCACUGAAAAUUGCCCAGGGGAUGGGAGGGGCUGGGGCAGUUCAGCCAGUUGCCCACUCAAUUCAAUGCCCAGUGUGCCUGGCAAUAUGUCCGUUUGCUUUGCUGGUACUGAAGGAUCUGGACCCGGCACGAUAUCCUCUUUGAGACACUCCACUGGGGGCACGUUUGAUUGCCGCACCAAGGACCACGUGUAGGAAGGGAGGUGACAGCUCUGGGGAGUCACUGUGUUCUCUAGGCUUGUUUUAAACAGCAGAUGAGGGUGCAGGAUCCCCGAAAGCAGAGCUGUCCCAGUGGAACAGGCUCUUCAACAUAAACAGACAUCGAUGGACUUCAUAUAAGCAGCCUCAUGCCCCGGGAAGUUUGAUGGAGCUGGAAAGCAGAGAGGAGUCUCUUUUGAAGACCUGCAUCAUUGGUUGUCCCCCUCCUGCCUGCAGAGCCCUCUGACGUGGCCCCGGUGGAGAGGCGAGCUCCUCCGCUCUCUCCCGACAAGGGUGGGAGCAGAACCCCCCGCUGGCUCCCCCCAGCCCUUCAGCAGAGCUGCGGAAACCUGCCGGGGAGAGAAAUUUCCUCGAAGCACCAGAUGGCACUCUCCGACUUCCAACCGAGCCGAGCCCGGCUAACCCAGCGGGGUGACACGGACACCCGUGGGUGCGUGCGAGGCCGCCCUGGGUCCAGGCU